CGUUAAAGUGCGCAUAGAUAAUUUCAGGUCGGAAAGACGAAGAGCACCCUUUUCCUCUCGAUGUGUUCAAGGCGCCAACAACUUUUCCUUCAUCAAAAAGCACUUUUCUUCUGCAGGACAACCACACAGACAACAAGCAAGAACUUGCAUAAUGUUUGACUCUGUCAAAUCUCACUCCCCUCUUCUUCUCCUCGCCGUUCUCCUCAUCUAUUCAGUGUCUAUUUCAUUCUCUCAUGGCGGUUCUCAUCUCCACCACCCGCCGACCGCACACUUUCCGAAGUUUGAUGUUGUUCGGUGGGAAGAGAGAAGGCUAGUUCUUGAAGGAAAUGAUGAAGGCAGUGUACAGAAUUCGACACUGGUAUUGGCUGAAAAGAGAACGCGCAGGAGAGACCCUCUGGAUAAUUUCAGGCACUACAAGGGGGGUUGGAACAUCAGCAGCAGACAUUACUUAUUUGUCAGUGUUAUCGUUUACUUCCCUCUCUAUUCUAUUUGAUCCUUCAACGAGUUUAUGAAAUUAUAACCAGGAACAUGUUCUUUUUA